rnacentral:misc_RNA from 1 species
UACGGAGGGGGCUAGCGUUGUUCGGAAUUACUGGGCGUAAAGCGCGCGUAGGCGGGCUGGAAAGUCAGGGGUGAAAUCCCGGGGCUCAACCCCGGAACUGCCUUUGAAACUAUCAGCCUUGAGUUCGAGAGAGGUGAGUGGAAUUCCGAGUGUAGAGGUGAAAUUCGUAGAUAUUCGGAGGAACACCAGUGGCGAAGGCGGCUCACUGGCUCGAUACUGACGCUGAGGUGCGAAAGUGUGGGGAGCAAACAGG